rnacentral:rRNA from 1 species
AGAGAGAGACAUGCGCGCAUAUCAAUAAGCGGAGGAAAAGAAACUAACAAGGAUUCCCUUAGUAACGGCGAGUGAAGGCGGGAAGAGCUCAAAUUUGAAAUCUUCAAGGUUUUACCUUGACGAAUUGUAGUUUAAAGAAGUGUUUUCUGCUGAAGUUUUGGUAAAAGUUCUUUGGAAUAGGACAUCAUAGAGGGUGAGAAUCCCGUAUUUGACCAUUAUUUUCAGCUUUGUAAUACACUUUCAAAGAGUCGGAUUGUUUGGGAAUGCAGUCCAAAAUGGGUGGUAAAUUUCAUCUAAAGCUAAAUAUUGGCGAGAGACCGAUAGCGAACAAGUACCGUGAGGGAAAGAUGAAAAGAACUUUGAAAAGAGAGUUAAACAGUACGUGAAAUUGUCAAAAGGGAAGCAGUUUGACACCAGUGUUGUUUUCUCGAAAAUCAAUUAAAAAUGGCUCGAUUUUGUAUUGUUGAGACCUUAAAAGCUCACUGUACAUUUUUCGUGUCUUUUUUAGUGCACUUUUCGUUUAACAGGUCAACAUCAGUUUCUUUUGUUGUAAAAGGGUCAUUGGAAGGUGGCUUUCUUUUCGGAGAAAGUGUUUAUAGCCCUUGGCCUCUGCAAUCGAAGAGACUGAGGUCUGCAGCGUAGACUCUUCGGGGUUAGAUACAUUUGUGCUAAGUUAUAGCUUUUUAUAGACAACUUGUUGACUAUAAUUAGUCUUGUAGCUUACUCGCUUAUGCUAUUUUACCUACGCUUAGGAUGUUGAAGAUGUAGCACAUCAU